rnacentral:rRNA from 1 species
AGAUACCCUGGUAGUCCACGCCGUAAACGAUGUCAACUAGCCGUUGGGUCCCUUGAGGACUUAGUGGCGCAGCUAACGCAAUAAGUUGACCGCCUGGGGAGUACGGCCGCAAGGUUAAAACUCAAAUGAAUUGACGGGGGCCCGCACAAGCGGUGGAGCAUGUGGUUUAAUUCGAUGCAACGCGAAGAACCUUACCUACCCUUGACAUCCAGAGGACUUUCCAGAGAUGGAUUGGUGCCUUCGGGAACUCUGAGACAGGUGCUGCAUGGCUGUCGUCAGCUCGUGUUGUGAAAUGUUGGGUUAAGUCCCGUAACGAGCGCAACCCCUAUCCUUAUUUGCCAGCGAGUAAUGUCGGGAACUCUAAGGAGACUGCCGGUGACAAACCGGAGGAAGGUGGGGACGACGUCAAGUCAUCAUGGCCCUUACGGGUAGGGCUACACACGUGCUACAAUGGCAAGUACAAAGGGUUGCAAUACGGCGACGUGGAGCCAAUCCCAUAAAGCUUGCCUCAGUCCGGAUUGGAGUCUGCAACUCGACUCCA